GUGCUCGCUUUGGCAGCAUAUAUACUAAAAUUGGAAUGAUACAAAGAUUAGCAUGGCCACUGUGCAAGGAUGACAUGCAAAUUCAUGAAACGUUCCAUAUUUUU
ensembl:snRNA U6 U6 spliceosomal RNA